UUUUAGACUUGAUUCUGGAGUCAAGGAAAAUACAGGCAAAUCAACUGGCCUCGAUAUCCUUUGACCCAAAUGUGUCCCACAUGAAGCAAUGUCGUAGCCUCCAGAUGAAGAUGGGAGUAUUUUUUUUUCCAUCCAAGCUACCUUAAGUCGUAAUAAAACAAAACGUUUAUGACCAACAACUGCUCGCACAGUUAUAACUCAAUCCUG
rnacentral:misc_RNA from 1 species